GCCUGGGUGGCACAGCGGUUGAGCGUCUGCCUUCGGCUCAGGGCGUGAUCCUGACGUUGUGGGAUCGAGCCCCACAUCAGGCU
rnacentral:tRNA from 1 species